GGCGAGUGAAGCGGCAAGAGCUCAAAUUUGAAUCUGGCUCUUCUGCGUUGGCGUAGUUGUUUUUUGAGGAAUCUGCGGGUACGGUGCCGGCCUAAGUUCCUUGGAACAUGACGUCUCCUUUGGUGAGAAUCCCGAGCUUGGCUGGCUGCCCCCUUCCAUGUGAAGCGUCUUCGACGAUUCGAGUUGUUUGGUAAUGCACCUCAAAAUGGGUGGUAAAUUUCAUCUAAAGAUGAAUAUUCCUGGGAGACCGAUAGCGCACAAAUAGAGUGAUCGAAAAAUGAAAAGCACUUUGAAAAAAGAGUUAAACUCUGAGUGAAAUUGUUGAAAGGGAAGCGCUUGACACCAAACUUCGCGUUUGGGUGAUCAUCCGUCCUUCUGGUCGGUGCACUUGCCCCCCUCCGACUGAGAAUCGGUUGAGGAGGAUGGAUAAAGGUCCCGGGAAUGUGGCUCCUUCGCGGGAUUGUUAUGUCCCGGGUGAAUGCCGCCAGCUUCGAUUGAUGUACCGUACCCGGUGUCUUAUGUAUGCUUGUUGUCAUGGCCUUCCUUGACUCAUCGCUUGACUGGAUAAUGGCUCUAACCUCUAUGUCUUGGUUUGGGUGUCAAACACUCGAACAUGUUGGCAAUGAACAGAGGGAGUGACCCUCUGGGUGCCUCCUGCAACCGGUUCUUGACUCUUCUGACUGAUCUGAGGAAGACCUCAGUUGUCUGAAUCUGAUAGA
rnacentral:rRNA from 1 species